AAAGAAGAUCUCGUUUCUUGGAACUCCUUUUUAAUCGAGGUAAGCCAGGAGGUUGGGUGAGCCAGUCUCAGGGUCUUCAACCUUGCCCGAGGAAGCGUUACUAAUGAUAGCAGCGUACACUUUCUCAG